ACAAGACCAGUCAAAGAACUGUGGAUGUUUCUGCAUGACGAAUUGCCUGUUUUUUCUCGGUGUCUACAAGGAUGCCAAGUGUCAUGGGUUCCAUUUCCUCACGAAAUUGUUCAUAAUGGAUAUUCUUCUUUUGGCACGCAUAUUUUUCUUAUAUAUAGAACUAAUUACUAGAAAUUAUAUGUAUAAUUGUUUGCUAGAGUCUGAAGACUUCGUUCAGGGCCUCUUGCUGCAAGGUUCAUAUACCAGGAAAACCAGCUCAGGAUGGAUGAGGUUGCAUUGGUCAGGACAUCGUCAGAUGGCAGUUCCAAGAGUGUUAAUGUUGAGGGAGCUAGGAGAAUGAUUCUGAAGCAUACAGACUUUUGUUCUGACAUUUUUAGACUCACAAGUUUUUACUGUGGCUUCCACCUCCUCAGCCUCAGAAGCACUAUCUCAGAUUCCUGAUGCGGUGUUUAUACAAGAAGCUGGACAGCUGAGAUGCAGUGGUGCUGAGAUUGCUAGAUUUGUUGCCAUGCUUUGGAAUCCUGCAUCAGUUCUCCAUGCUUGUCCCGCCUUUGCUCUCCUUCAGGUAGCAGGGCAUACUAGUCAUAAAACACUACCACAACCACUUCCGUCGAAGCCAAAGUCUUUGCAAGAAUUGUCCUUAGAAAUUUGGAACACCAUCAGAUGGGGACCUCAACAUGAAAGCACAAGCAGUGGAGCGUGCUAACCUUCCAACAACAAGGGCAUCUCCAGUAACCUUCUCUGCCAGUUGAAAACAUCGUAAAAUUGCGGUUCAGCGCGUGCUUUUUUGGUUCUUCCUGUUGCUCAUUGGGAUGCAAAUGACUGAUCGCUAAUGGGGUACUAGAUUUCGGCAGAUGUCUGCCAACACGCUUGUAAAUUUUCCACCUAAUCACGAGUAAUAGAAGGAAAAAUGAUUAGGAAGCAAACAUCCAUGAACCUGGACUUCUCGUGACAAAAAAGAGUGCUAUUAGAUUCAUAGACUAUGCGCAUGCCUCCAUGUUGAUGCUGCCCCCCUUGGCCGGCUGUGGCGGCCCCAUGGCAGCCUGUGAGAGCUGCCCCUCCGCUUCUCUGGCAAGCUCAGUGGGAAGGGGUUGCUGUCUCUCUUGGCCGGUCCGGUAUGGCGGCUCCCCGCAAAGUGGCCCCUCCGCUUCUCCAGCGAGCUCGGCGGCGGGGAGUCGGGCGACGCCGGAGGGAGUUGAUGCCUUCCUUGCUGGCUGUGGAGGCUCCGUGGCGUCCCGCUCUAUUAAGCAAAUAGGCUCAUCCUAACAUAAACUGAAAAAAAAAAGAGCAGAGCUCUCAUUUGACUUGCUAUCAAUGUGAAAGAUAUUAAACAUUACUACUUGUGGUACUGGUUUGCAGGUUACAGGAGGUGGACAGGUCUGAUAGAUAUCCACAUGUUACAAACAUCAUCGAGCAGCAGCAUAUUUCUGUGUGAUUUCGGCUUAUGCGACGUCCAAUAUUCAUUCCCUUCUCAACAGAGAACCCCAGAAAUACAAACACCUUAAGUGCAAGUAUGCCCAUACAUGAUAUUCAAUCUUAGGGGUUUGCCAAAUGCCAGCGCAUUCUAUGGGGGCAAGGAAUUCUAGGUAGCUCACUGGUGGUUCCUUCACUUAUCAGUAGCAGCGAACACACGUUCACAUCCCAACAACCCUAAGCUGGUGGUUUGACCAGCAAUUUCGUUUUAGUUCCGGUGACUUCACUUGCUAGACUUUUUGUUGUUCUUCAUACCACAUGUAAAUUUGAAUCACUGCACAUGCUUACGGCCCUUCUGUUCCAAAAGGAAUCUAUACGAGUUACCUCCUUCCUUUCUUUCCCAUCUGAAGUUUGGAUUCUGUUAAUCGUGAAGUUUAAUUAUUUAUUUCUAAUGGAUUUUGUUAACUCCCUCCUUUUAUUUUUGUUGUUGGAAUACCAAGCUAGUUCAUGAUGCUUUCAGAUUAGUGCCUUCCACGAUUUGGAAAUCUCAAAUUCAACUUGGGAUAAUAGCUAUUCUCCAGAACCGUGUUGUGACUAGCUUUACUAUAGGAGAGGCCCUUUUUUGAGCAAUAGUUAGUACUUUAUGCUAAUUUGAGGAAGUUAUGAUCAUACUCUCGAAGAAAUUUUCAGAGGAGAGACGAAUAGCACUUUACCAGCAAAAUGUCUAUUAGGUGAGAAUUGGUUCAUGUUAUCAAAUGCCAGCCGUGGAGAAGACGUAACACGGCCGACGGAAGACGGUACGACGCCCUGGCCAGCUCACAGCUGGACCACUGGUCUCAAGUCUCAAGCGAACUAGGCAGUAGCCAACUAGGUACAUGAAGCUGCCAACAUAAAGUUGCACUAGAUCUUGCACCAAACAUCCCCUAAAUACAAACUAGUGGGUAUGUGUUUAAUUCCUUUUUAAUAAAUAACUAUAGUAGUUGUAUUCCCAUGGCAUUUUCUUGGUGGGCAUUGUUGGUUGACUUGACUAAGUAUUGCUAGCAACACUAGUUCUAAAAGAAGUCAUCACAUUGCAUAGCAUAACUAUGGUUCUCCAUUUCCGGUUAGAAAUACAUAUUCAUAUUCUUUCUUUUCUUUGUUCUUAAUCUGGUAGGAAGAGGUUCAAAGCAAAAUGAAGGUGUGCCAGCUAUCUAAAAGUUUUAAUACCUACCAGAAAAUAAAUGGAAGUUAUCUCAAGCACAAUUUUACAAUAUACAAGAUAUAUGUGGCCAUUUUUUCGUGCCCACUAAUCCGAUUUAUUAUAACCUUUUCUCAUCGACAUUAUGCUAAAAUUUUCAUGCUCAUGAAUUUUCAUGAAUUGUGGUUAUUGGCCAAGGAUAGAGAGAAGAUGCUGUACAUUCUGAUGAGAAAAAGGGACCGGGGGUAGUGUCCUAUCAUCAAUAUAUUGCCUAUCCAAGCUCUACCAGGAAGCAUCCAGCAGGAGCUCAAGUGUUGUUACCGAUUAUGUUGGUUGUCUCAGAAAAUGUCAAAUACCACCAAAGGGCUUGGUGUGGCUUUCUCAAUUAAUAAUGCGGAUGGGGUAUGAUAAAAAUCAACACAGGAUGCUUUCUUCUCUUGUGUGUAUUCAUCUUUCACAAAAAAAUAUUGGACUGUAAUGGAUUGCAUACAACCAAAACUCUGGAUUCUUCGGCAUAUUAUGCUCAGGUUAUUGUUUGCUUCAUCCUGAGAGACCACUUAACUGCUUCCAAGAAUUUUUCAUUCCCAUGUGCAUCUGUCCAGGUUUGCAAAAUACUCCUGACGAUUAUGCAUAUAGUUCAUUUUUCUUGACUGUACCAAUUGAUCAGAAUUCUUGAUGUGUGAUUUAUAUGAUGAUGCAUCUUAAUAUUCUGAAUUACGUUGCGGAGAUUGGGCCAUUGUCCCUGAAAGGGUGAGUUGAUGAACAACUCACCUUAAAAUGUUUGACUGGUUAUUCAACUAUGGAAGUCAAUGGAAUAUUAAGUGAUAUGUCAUGGCUCUAAUAGCAAAAGCAAUUUUUUCUCAUUUUCAUCUCUUAUACCUUGGUUCACCUGGUCUUUAUAUACAAAGAAACACAGUUCUUUCUCAAUUUUGCCUGAUUUAAUUUUGAUUAUCUUUGGAAUAGUAGCUUUAUUACUUCCUUUUUGUGGAUAAUGAUGGUAUUGAAUGCCGAUGAAAUAGGGAUUAGAGGAGAAAGUGUCAAAUAAUAGCAUCAGAGCAUGACAUGUCAAUGAGGUAACAUGUUGUCCAUGCUUUGUAUUUAUAUCAGUGGUGCAUGCAUAAAUAAGAAAGCUACAUCUAUAUUCUCUCUUAAAUGCAAAGAAACCUUAAACUUUUUUUUUAAAAAAAAAGGGGAAAGGGAUACAUGCAUGUAUACCUAUUAACCCAUGGAAUAACAACUAAAACCCGGUUUUUGUUACAGUAGAACAAAGCCUACACCCUUUUGAUUCCCCUAGCCUCAAGCUCGUAGGAUUUGACCUAAAAAUCACAUUUCUUAAUCUGUCUAUUAGCAAAGUAGGGCCAACUUGAAUAUGCAUCUGGGGUACCUUAGCUUGUUUUUAUCACAUUACACCCUAUUAUACUAAGCCAUUAUUUUAGUAAAUCACAAUAAUCGUUCAUGGUUCUAACACUCCACUUUUUUGGUCUUACAGCCCUAAUCCCUACCCAAAUCUCUCCACUAGUCUACAAAUGCUACUCCAGAUCCUCAUGUUUUGUGCAAACUUAUGUUUUGAUGAUGGUUGACAAUGAGUUUCUCAAUUGAUUUUUUUCUAAAGUAUAGUAGUUGAACGCUUGAACUCUAAUUUGAUUGUUGUGUUAUUUGUUCUUUUGCUUAGUUAAGUCCAUGCACUGAUGAUGGUUUGAUAUGGAUGCUCGACGGUGGGAAAGAACAGUAAAAAUCGGUGCUACUUGAGAAUAGAGUCAUCGUCCUUAUUGUAACAUAACCCAGGUCGUGAACUGCAAAGCCACUCUUUCAGCCUUUAUAAUUUCUCUGGUCUCUUCGCAACUUAGAAAUUUGUAUCACAUACAGUCAAUCUAUUUUGAGGAAAUUAUUAUUCUCUAUUGCUUGAUGACGGGAAGUUACAUCCUCAUUUCCUGCACAUACUCCAUAUGUGCAACAUUCAAAUGUUUAGUGGCAUCCACAUCCAACCUUCAAAUGUUCUUAAGUUCUUAAAUAACAGAUAGUAAUGUACUUAUACUUUUCGUCUUAUAAAUUUGUGGCUAUUAAAACAACCAAGACCAGCCAAAGAACUGUGGAUGUUUCUGCAUGAUGAAUUGGUCGUUUUUUUUUGGUGUCUACAAGGAUGCCAAGUGUCAUGGAAUUGUUUGCUAUAGAGACUGAAGACUUCGUUCAGGGCCUCUUGCUGCGAGGUUCAUAUACUAGGAAAACCAGCUCAGGCCUCAGAUCUCUACAAGGCCAACAUUGGGGAGUCGUGUGUCGUGCUCGCCUCCAGGGAGGCGACCGGCAUGGUCGCCAUGCAGCUCAUCGUUGUUCUUAACCUGGAUGUCCCUAGCGAGGCAGAGCGGAUUAAGAAGUGUAGGGGCAGGGUGUUUGCUCUACAUGACGAGCCGAAGGUGCCAAGGGUCUGGUUGUCGUUCGACGAUGCACUAGGCCUAGUGAUGGCGUGAUGUUCGGGGACUUUUGCCUGAAAGAUUACGCGGUCAUACCAGUGCCGGAGUUCUUCCAUUGGUCUCCCACAGAAAAGGACCAGUUCAUCAUUCUUGCAUCGGAUGGGGUCUGUUCAAAACAAUGCUGACGAGUCGGAUGCUAAUCAGCUAGAGAAACUGGAGAAACUCCUGACAAAUGCUUUGAGGGAUACGAAAUCCAAGAAGGAACUGGGAAAACCAACAUCAGUGCUGGAAUUGGUAGUGUUGACGAAACAAAAUGGUGAAGGGUGCAGAAGCAGCGCAAACUCCACAAUUGUUAAUGAGCUGGAUUCCAUCCAUUUGUCCAUUAAAAAGGCAUCACAAAUGGAAAUUGUGGAAGAAAUUGGUAGGCAGGUAAGUACCCCUUUCUAUGAUAUCUAUUGAAAAGGGACUGACAAUCUGUAUCAACCUCAUUAUUCGCUUCGUAGUAUUCAUUUUUGAAGGCAUCACACCUUGGGUAUUUAAAUAAACAGAGCAAGUGAAGAGGUGGCAGCAGCAAAGGAGGGACUGCCAUCCAAAUGUACAUAUUGAUACUUGAUACAAUUAUUUCCUUUAAAAGAGAAAAUGAAUAUCAAAAUUGGUGCUUUUGGGGAUAAUAGUGAUACAAGUGCUAUUUGUGCCAAAGCUAUGGCUUGUUGUGCCAAAGCUCAGAUAAUCAGGAUUGAAUGACAUGAGGAUAACGACAGCUUUGAUCUUAACAAGAUGGCUCUAAUCUCCCACCACUAGAGGUCCUAUGCAUAUAGCAUUGAUAUAUUCACGGAGGGGAGAUACCAUCUCAGUCACUUAAAGAGUUGACACAUCAUUGAGUCAUUUCUGCUCCAAGUAUAGUAAAAUUGGAAAUAACCAAUUCUGGAGGUUAAACUCUUAUACUAAUGAUGUUAAGGCUAUUGUUUGUUUCUGAAGGGUAUUCUACGGGUUAUAAUUGUAAGAUAUAUAUAUACCUCUUUUCCACCUUUUGGAAUUCUCUUGUACAUGUAUAUAUUUGGGUACAUUGCCCUCACUUGAAUACAAGUGCUAUUCCUAACAUGGUAUCAGAGCUAGUUCAUCUCAUCUCUAGCAAAACUCUCCUUGAUUUCUUGUUGCUGGAUCUUCAUCAAGGAUGAUUUGGUUUCUUUGCCUUGAAGCCAUCACAUCCUCAUGAUCUAGCCCCUUGUCAAAGAUAGUUGAUCUCUGUUCGUCUUCUUGCUGUGUCGUCGCUGCUCUUCGCCGCAUGUCGUCGCUGUUCUUCGUUGCCGAUCUUGUCGCCCUUCACCGCAGGACGUCGGCAACCUUCGUCGCUGGCCAUCGCUGGUCACCGGUCUUUGUCGCUGGCCGUUGCCGGUCGCCAGCCUUUGUCGCUGGCUGUCACUGGUCGUCGCCGGUCGCCGCUGGUCACCGCCGGCCGUCGCCGGUCACCGUCAGUCAUCGCCGGUCGCUGCUGGCCGGUCGCCACCCUCACGUCGCUCUUCCCCACUCGC